AGGAAUAUUGGUCAAUGGACGAGAGUCUGAACCAGCCAAGUAGCGUGAAGGAUGACUGCCCUAUGGGUUGUAAACUUCUUUUAUACGGGAAUAAAGUGAGGCACGUGUGCCUUUUUGUAUGUACCGUAUGAAUAAGGAUCGGCUAACUCCGUGCCAGCAGCCGCGGUAAUACGGAGGAUCCGAGCGUUAUCCGGAUUUAUUGGGUUUAAAGGGAGCGUAGGCGGACGCUUAAGUCAGUUGUGAAAGUUUGCGGCUCAACCGUAAAAUUGCAGUUGAUACUGGUUCCCUUGAGUGCAGUUGAGGCAGGCGGAAUUCGUGGUGUAGCGGUGAAAUGCAUAGAUAUCACGAAGAACCCCGAUUGCGAAGGCAGCUUACUGGACUGUAACUGACGCUGAUGCUCGAAAGUGUGGGUAUCAAACAGGAUUAGAUACCCUGGUAGUCCACACAGUAAACGAUGAAUACUCGCUGUUGGCGAUACACAGUCAGCGGCCAAGCGAAAGCAUUAAGUAUUCCACCUGGGGAGUACGCCGGCAACGGUGAAACUCAAAGGAAUUGACGGGGGCCCGCACAAGCGGAGGAACAUGUGGUUUAAUUCGAUGAUACGCGAGGAACCUUACCCGGGCUUAAAUUGCAGCGGAAUGUAGUGGAAACAUUACAGCCUUCGGGCCGCUGUGAAGGUGCUGCAUGGUUGUCGUCAGCUCGUGCCGUGAGGUGUCGGCUUAAGUGCCAUAACGAGCGCAACCCUUAUCUAUAGUUACUAUCAGGUCAUGCUGAGGACUCUAUGGAGACUGCCGUCGUAAGAUGUGAGGAAGGUGGGGAUGACGUCAAAUCAGCACGGCCCUUACGUCCGGGGCUACACACGUGUUACAAUGGGGGGUACAGAAGGCAGCUACCUGGCGACAGGAUGCUAAUCCCUAAAACCUCUCUCAGUUCGGAUUGGAGUCUGCAACCCGACUCCAUGAAGCUGGAUUCGCUAGUAAUCGCGCAUCAGCCACGGCGCGGUGAAUACGUUCCCG
rnacentral:rRNA from 1 species